UCUAGAAACAAAACAAAGCUACUACUGAUGAAUUAAAAUCAGAAGGACUACUACCAUUUCUCUACUCUUGCUGCGUUUGGUAUGUGACAUGAAGCUUACUACUAUUGUUUUGUAGGUCCUAGCUCAAGUCAAGCCACACAAAAGUAGACAAGGGGUCCCACAUGAGGAUCAGUGGCGGGCUUUGGUCUACUAUUAGGGCACUCAAAGUGCAUCGAAAUCAAGCAAGAAGAAUAGAAAAAUCCGGAAGAAGAAGACAUUACAUCAUAGAACAGGCCGAAAGCCUUUCUCAGUAGUUCGACUGGAGGAGACCAAAAAGAACAAUGGGGUUCCUGCUAGUAGGUCACAGGUGUGGAUGGCCGCAUACAUGAAAGAUGGGACGUCAAAUAGUGAUUCAGUUAAUGAGGUUAUGACUCAAAUGAAUGAGUUAGCAGAGCG